rnacentral:lncRNA from 1 species
CAGGUAUUUCCCUUUGAGUUUGCUGCUUUCUUGGAGCACACCACUACGAGCAAAUGUUCCAUGAUGCAUAGAUGAAGGAUGGGGGCUCACAUACUGGGCAUGAGCUUUGUGUGCAUUUCAGGCUGGAAUUUGCUUUAAUUUGUUUUUCAGGUUUUGAUCUUCCUGGGUUUGGCUGGACAUUCUGCUGUUGGUACUUUCAGCUGCAAGUCUUCAUAUUAUGAGCCUCAUGUAGAGACGGCACGGCAGUUAUCUUGGUGGAACUUCUUACUGAAGAGAAAUGAGGAAUAUUAACCCAUGAGGGACCAAAGGAGGCUGUAGGAGAGCCAGAAAAGGAACAAAUAUCUCCAGAGUUAACAGACUAAUGCCUCAACCACGUGCCGAGCCCAACACCUCCCUCUGCUUCUCUUCCUCAGGGAGCUGUAGCGAGCAGUGAGGUUGCCUCUCAGCCUCCUCUUCUCCAGACUGGACAACCCUGGUGUCCUCAGUCUCUCCUCACAGGACAUGCCUUCCAGACCCAUUACCAGAUUUGAUGCCUCCUCUGGGUGUUUUCAAGGACCUCAACAGCCUUUUUUUUUUAAAUUGUGGAU